rnacentral:rRNA from 1 species
UGGGCUUGACAUCCCACGAACCUUCCCGAAAGGGUUGGGUGCCCGCAAGGGAGCGUGGAGACAGGUGGUGCAUGGCUGUCGUCAGCUCGUGUCGUGAGAUGUUGGGUUAAGUCCCGCAACGAGCGCAACCCUCACCCCUUGUUGCCACCGGGUAAAGCCGAGCACUCUAGGGGAACUGCUAGCGUCAAGCUGGAGGAAGGCGGGGAUGACGUCAAGUCAUCAUGCCCCUUACGCCCUGGGCUACACACGUGCUACAAUGGGGCCGACAAAGAGACGCAAAGCCGCGAGGUAGAGCAAAACUCAAAAACGGUCUCUAAGUUCAGAUUGCAGUCUGCAACUCGACUGCAUGAAGGAGGAAUCGCUAGUAAUCGCGCAUCAGCACGGCGCGGUGAAUACGUUCCCGGGCCUUGUACACACCGCCCGUCACACCACGAAAGCCGGCUGUACUCGAAGUCGCUGAG